UACGAAGGGGGCUAGCGUUGCUCGGAAUUACUGGGCGUAAAGCGCACGUAGGCGGACUUUUAAGUCGGGGGUGAAAUCCUGGAGCUCAACUCCAGAACUGCCUUCGAAACUGAAAGCCUUGAGUUCGGGAGAGGUGAGGGGAACUGCGAGUGUAGAGGUGAAAUUCGUAGAUAUUCGAAAGAACACCAGUGGCGAAGGCGGCUCACUGGCCCGAUACUGACGCUGAGGUGCGAAAGCGUGGGGAGCAAACAGG
rnacentral:rRNA from 1 species